GCCGGGGUGGCCGAGCGGACUAAGGCGCAGGCCUUGAGAGCCUGUGGCUCCUCGGGAGCCUCAUGGGUUCGAAUCCCAUCCCCGGCGCCA
rnacentral:tRNA from 2 species